rnacentral:lncRNA from 10 species
AAAAGGGCAGAACCAGAGAAAGAAUUAAGUGACAGAAAUUGACAUUUCUGAAUAAGAGGUGUAUUCAUCUGUUUUCACAUUGCUAUAAAGACACUACCUGAGACUAGGUAAUUUAUAAACAAGAGAGGUUUAAUUGACUCACAGUUCCACAUGGCUAGGGAGACCUCAGGAAACUUACAAUAAUGGUGGAAGGCAAAGGAGAAGCAAGCACCUUCUUUACAAGGUGGCAGGAGAGAGAGCGAGCACGGGGGAAACCACCAUAUUUAAACCAUCAGAUCUCAUGAGAUCUCCCUCACUAUCGUGAGAACAGCAUGCAGGGGGAAAAUGCCCCAUGAUCAGUCACCUCCCACCAGAUCCCUCCCUCGACACAGAGGAUUACAAUUCGAGAUGAGAUUUGGGUGGGGACACAGAGCCAAACCAUGUUGGGGGGAUUACCUGUAAGUGAACCAGGUGUAUGUGCUAAGAGACCUGCACCAUCCCUGGAAUUUGCAGAGAGCCCACCUGCACAUUAUUAUGGGACCAGAGGCAGUAUAUGUUGUGGUGUUUGGUUCCUUAAGCUGGUAGCUCCUUGAAGAGGGGAUUAUAACUUUAAUGUUUCUUACUACUCUAUCAAUUUUGGAAAUGGUGAUUUACUUUAUGGAAUGGCCAAACAAGGUUCUGUUCCCCAAGCCUUCCCUACCUUCAACCUCUUUCUCUACCUUUCUCUUUUCUCUCAAUAGCAAAAAAGCAAAACCCAACAACAAACCAUAUAAAUGACUUUGUAACUUCCCAGAGAUGGUUUUUGUAUGCAAAGUAGUGUUCUACACUCUGGAAAAAAUAGAAAUGUAUUUCUUUCAGCCUGAACUGGGUGGACAUAAUUGGAUCUGCCUCUGAGAGCAAGGAAUAGCACCUGUUCACUAACCUCCCAGAAUCGUAAUCCUGAAAAUCUCCACUUUCAUCCAAGGCACAGGCGUGGUGGAAACGUAUCAUGGCUACUCUGAAGCAAAGAAGGUUCUGCAUGCCUUGGGAGGAGAGCCACACAGGCACAGUUCCUUGUUUUUGGAAAGGGACACCAAAUCCAUGCUAAGGCAGUCACGUGGGCACAUACCAGUUUUCAUAGAGGAUAUGACCUCAGAGAGUGAAGCUUGAAUUGUUUCACAAUUUGUGGUUCUGCCAGUUAGCCAGAGUUGUAGAAGUUCCCGUUUCCUUAUAAGGGAAGCUCAUCUAAAAGGAAUCCUGCUUAAUUCUUUGGUCAUAUGAGUGUCUACAUCCUGUCAGGAUUAGUACCAUUGAGACAGGUCUCAUAAAAGUGGGGUGUACUAGAGAUAGUUCAUUUUUGUUACAUCUCAUCACGGUGAGGGUGGUGAGCUUUCUCCUGGCUUAUCAGGAGAAAACAAGGAUAAGUUUAAAACUUGGAUGGGGAUUAUUGAAGAUAGGUGUGGAGGACCAUGGGGGGCUCAUCAAGGCACAGGAGAGAGACAGCUCUCUGCUGCUUCUCGUGGGGGAAGGGAAAGAGAUUCUAGACAUUUGGAGAAGGCUUAAAGUUGGAAGUAGAUACACCAGUGGAAAAGGCUUUCAAACAGGUGCCCCUGGGAUGAUGGAUAAGAGAAGCUUGGCACACAGACUAUAAAGAAUAUGGCCCAAGGGCCCUAGCCCAGGGCUUCUCACAUGACUACAUGCAGGAAUCACUGAGGGAGCCUGUUAGGAAGCAGCUUCUGACUCAGCACUCAGCCAGAGAGUCUGCAGUUCUCGCCAGCUCCCAGGAGAUGGUGACUGCCGGUCCAGACACCACCCUUUGAGUAGUGAGGUCCUAGAGGUCACAUUUGUCCAACAUGAAACUGGGGAGGGGGGGUUUCCCUAAGAGCAAGGGCAGUCAGGACCAUGAACCAAUCUUAUGCCUCCUGGAGCAGAGCUCUCCACCUCAUCCUGGUGGUCUUGGAAGAGUGAAGAGAUUCAAAGCACACGAUGAGCUUUAACAUAAGCUGCUGGCUUUGGCUACUGGGAUUGAGCUUUAUGAAAGUGUUCUGUUCCCACAGCAGUACAACAUGGACUUCAGACCCUGGUAUGUGGCACUGAGAUACCUUGUGUGGACACCAGGGUGGGUGAGAUUGGGUGAUCAGUAGACAUCACAGAAAAUGCAGGGAAAAGAGCAUCAACAAAGAUGACAUUGGGGGAAAGAGCUCUGGAACCUGACUGUCGGGGUUCAGAUCCCAGCUCCACCACUUAGCAGCAGCAUGAACUUAAGUUUCUUAAUUUCUCUGUGCUUUAGUUUCUUCCACUAUAAAAUGAGAAUAAUGGGCCAAACUUCAAGGGCUAUUGUGAAGAUUAAAUGAGCUAGAACAGGUAUUUAGAACAGGAACUGGCAUUUAGAAAACACCCCCAAAAUGCUAGUUGUUGUUACUACCAGUGGCCCUUGAAGCCACCACACACCUGUCCUACCUCUUCAUCUCGACAUAUACACAGCCUGACCUGUCUCAGCCUCUCACCUCACAGCUUCUCCCUCCCACUGGGCUAACCUCUGAGAACAAGGACCUUGUCUUACUCCCCUCUGUAAGUCUUCCCAGCACCUUGUGUAGUAAUUUGAGGUUAUUGCUGAAUGUAUCAAAUAAAAUGUUCUCCAUCAG